rnacentral:rRNA from 1 species
GUGGGGAAUCUUCCGCAAUGGACGAAAGUCUGACGGAGCAACGCCGCGUGAGUGAAGAAGGUUUUCGGAUCGUAAAGCUCUUUCGUUAGGGACGAACGUGCUCUUUGUGAAUAAUGAGGAGUAAUGACGGUACCUAAAUAAGAAGCCACGGCUAACUACGUGCCAGCAGCCGCGGUAAUACGUAGGUGGCAAGCGUUGUCCGGAAUUAUUGGGCGUAAAGCGCGCGCAGGCGGGAUAUCAAGUCUGUCUUAAAAGUGCGAGGCUCAACCUCGUGAGGGGACAGAAACUGGUAUUCUUGAGUGUCGGAGAGGAAAGUGGAAUUCCAAGUGUAGCGGUGAAAUGCGUAGAGAUUUGGAAGAACACCAGUGGCGAAGGCGACUUUCUGGACGAUGUCUGACGCUGAGGCGCGAAAGCUAGGGGAGCGAACGGGAUUAGAAACCCUAGUAGUCC